UCAAGUAAGUAAGGGCGUACGGCGGAUGCCUUGGCCAUAUCAGCCGAAGAAGGACGCGAUAAGCUGCGAUAAGCUGCGGUGAGGUGCAAGUAACCUUUGACCCGCAGAUCUCCGAAUGGGGAAACCCGGCAGCAGUAGUGCUGUCAUCCUCUAUGAGGAAGGGCACCCGGUGAACUGAAACAUCUAAGUAGCCGGAGGAAAAGGAAUCAACAGAGAUACCCCUAGUAGCGGCGAGCGAACGGGGCAGAGCCCAAACCGGGAUGGGAAACCAAUCCGGGGUUGUGGACUGCUAUCAAAUGCAUGAGUGAAGCAGAAUGAGCUGGGAAGCUCAGCCAGAGAGAGUGAGAGCCUCGUAGGCGUAAGCAAAUGCAUGGAGCAGGAUCCGGAGUACCACGGGACACGAGAAACCCUGUGGGAAGCUGGGGGGACCACCCUCCAAGGCGAAACACUGAUAUGGACCGAUAGCGCAUAGUACCGUGAGGGAAAGGUGAAAAGAACCCCGGGAGGGGAAUGAAAGAGAACCUGAAACCGUAUGUCUACAAGCAGUCGAAGACCUUUAUAUGGUCGACGGCGUGCCUAUUGAAGAAUGAACCGGCGAGUUACUUCAGCUAGCGAGGUUAAGCAGAAAAUGCGGAGCCGCAGCGAAAGCGAGUCUGAACAGGGCGUAUAGUUAGUUGGAGUAGACCCGAAACCACAGUGAUCUACCCAUGUCCAGGUUGAAGCACAGGUAAAAAUGUGUGGAGGACCGAACCAGUGAGCGUUGAAAAGCUUUUGGAUGAGAUGUGGGUAGGGGUGAAAUGCCAAUCGAACGUGGAGAUAGCUGGUUCUCCCCGAAAUAGCUUUAGGGCUAGCCUCAUGGCGAGAGUACAGGCGGUAGAGCACUGAACGGGGUAGGGGCCUAUCCGGCUACUGAACCUAAUCAAACUGCGAAUGGCUGUACUUAUCCAUGGGAGUCAGACUGUGAGUAAUAAGGCCCAUAGUCAAGAGGGAAACAGCCCAGACCAACAGCUAAGGUCCCCAAUGCCGUACUAAGUGGCGAAGGAUGUGGAAUUUCGAAAACAACCAGGAUGUUGGCUCAGAAGCAGCCACCAUUAAAAGAGUGCGUAAUAGCUCACUGGUCGAGAGACUCUGCGCCGAAGAUGUCCGGGGCUAAAGUACGGAACCGAAGCUUUGGCAAUUAACAUAAGUUAAUUGGGUAGGGGAGCGUUCCUGCAUGGGAGAAGCCUGACCGGAAGGACAGGUGGACAGGCAGGAAGAGAGAAUGCCGGUAUGAGUAGCGAAAAGAAGGGUGAGAAUCCCUUCCACCGAAAGCCUAAGGGUUCCUGGGCAACGAUCGUCGUCCCAGGGUAAGUCGGGACCUAAUCCGAGGCGGAGACGCGUAGGAGAUGGACAACAGGUUGAAAUUCCUGUACUGGCUGAGGCCGUUUGAGCGAAGGAGUGACACAGGAAGGAAGGCGCGCGUGCGAUUGGAAGAGCACGUCCAAGCAGGUAGGUCGGGAGACAGGCAAAUCCGUUUCCCAGAAGGCCGAGAUGCGAUGGGGAGCUUCUGGAGACAGAAGCGAAGGGGCUGGCACUAAACUGUCGAGAAAAGCUUCUAGUGAGGACUCAGGCACCCGUACCGAAACCGACACAGGUAGGCAGGAUGAGAAUUCUAAGGUGCGCGGGAAAACCCUCGUUAAGGAACUCGGCAAAAUAUAUCCGUAACUUCGGGAAAAGGAUAACCCAGCGUACGUGAAGUGCAGAAACGCAUGGAGCGGAGAUGGGUGGCAGAAGAGAGGCCCAAGCGACUGUUUACCACAAACACAGGCGUCUGCUAAAGCGAAAGCUGAUGUAUAGAUGCUGACACCUGCCCGGUGCUGGAAGGUUAAGAGGAAGUGUUAGCGCAAGCGAAGCAGUGAAUUGAAGCCCCAGUAAACGGCGGCCGUAACUAUAACGGUCCUAAGGUAGCGAAAUUCCUUGUCGGGUAAGUUCCGACCCGC
rnacentral:rRNA from 1 species